rnacentral:rRNA from 1 species
AACAUUGUUUAAAGAAAUUAUUUUAAAUAAAACCUGCUCAAUGUGUCACUUAUACAUAAAUAGCCGCAGAAUUAUUACUGUGCUAAGGUAGCGUAAUCACNUUGUCUUUUAAUUUAAGACUAGAAUGAAAGGUUAAACUAUUACCCCCUAUUUUAAUUUUAUAUAUAAAAAUUAUACUAAAUAUUAAAAUAUAUUUAUAUAUUAAUUAGACGACAAGACCCUGUCGAACUUCACUUAAGUUUAGCUGGGGAAGCUAUUUAAUUAAAAUNUUAAAUAUC